rnacentral:sRNA from 1 species
GAAAGGUUUUGUCUAUGUCUGUUCCUUGUUGAAUCUCUAGUACCUAGAACCAUGUCUGGUCCUGAUUAGGCACUUGGUGAAUGUUUUUGAAUGAAUGCUCUGAGCUGUUCUUUAAUCGGUCCUUAUCACCCUCAUUGUACAGGUGAGGGAACUCUGGGCGAGCCUGGCCUGGGUCUUGAGCUAAUUACGAGUGGGUCAGGAUCUGCACCCAAGUAGUACACUCCGUGAUGGGCAGGGGUGGCCUGGGGCCGUGGUUUGUCAACCCCUACGCUGGAGGGUGAUAUUUUGGCACAAGAGGAGAGGUGCCCCAAUGCGUCCUGUGUCUGUAAUUGAUGGCUUUGUCUGUGUUUCCUCAGGAUGUGGUUCUGAGACAGUCCCUGUCCCUGAUGGCCCACGGAGCGACUCGGUGGAAGGAAGUCCCUUCCGUCCCCCGUCACACUCCUUCUCUGCCGUCUUCGAUGAAGACAAGCCGAUAGCCAGCAGCGGGACUUACAACUUGGACUUUGACAACAUUGAGCUUGUGGAUACCUUUCAGACCUUGGAGCCUCGUGCCUCAGACGCUAAGAAUCAGGAGGGCAAAGUGAACACACGGAGGAAGUCCACGGAUUCCGUCCCCAUCUCUAAGUCUACGCUGUCCCGGUCGCUCAGCCUGCAAGCCAGUGACUUUGAUGGUGCUUCUUCCUCAGGCAAUCCCGAGGCCGUGGCCCUCGCCCCAGAUGCAUAUAGCACGGGUUCCAGCAGUGCUUCUAGUACUCUUAAGCGAACUAAAAAACCGAGGCCGCCUUCCUUAAAAAAGAAACAGACCACCAAGAAACCCACAGAGACCCCCCCAGUGAAGGAGACGCAACAGGAGCCAGAUGAAGAGAGCCUCGUCCCCAGUGGGGAGAAUCUAGCAUCUGAGACGAAAACGGAAUCUGCCAAGACGGAAGGUCCUGGCCCAGCCUUAUUGGAGGAGACGCCCCUUGAGCCCGCUGCGGGGCCCAAAGCUGCCUGCCCUCUGGACUCAGAGAGUGCAGAAGGGGCUGUCCCCCCAGCUUCUGGAGGUGGCAGAGUGCAGAACUCACCCCCUGUCGGGAGGAAAACGCUGCCUCUUACCACGGCCCUGGAGGCAGGGGAGGUGACCCCAUCAGAUAGCGGGGGGCAAGAGGACUCUGCAGCCAAAGGGCUCUCCGUAAGGCUGGAGUUUGACUAUUCUGAGGACAAGAGUAGUUGGGACAACCAGCAGGAAAACCCCCCUCCUACCAAAAAGAUAGGCAAAAAGCCAGUUGCCAAAAUGCCCCUGAGGAGGCCAAAGAUGAAAAAGACACCCGAGAAACUUGACAACACUCCUGCCUCACCUCCCAGAUCCCCUGCUGAACCCAAUGACAUCCCCAUUGCUAAAGGUACUUACACCUUUGAUAUUGACAAGUGGGAUGACCCCAAUUUUAACCCUUUUUCUUCCACCUCAAAAAUGCAGGAGUCUCCCAAACUGCCCCAACAAUCAUACAACUUUGACCCAGACACCUGUGAUGAGUCCGUUGACCCCUUUAAGGCAUCCUCUAAGACCCCCAGCUCACCUUCUAAAUCCCCAGCCUCCUUUGAGAUCCCAGCCAGUGCUAUGGAAGCCAAUGGAGUGGACGGGGAUGGGCUAAACAAGCCCGCCAAGAAGAAGAAGACGCCCCUAAAGACUGACACAUUUAGGGUGAAAAAGUCGCCAAAACGGUCUCCUCUCUCUGAUCCACCUUCCCAGGACCCCACCCCAGCUGCUACACCAGAAACACCACCGGUGAUCUCUGCAGUGGUCCACGCCACAGAUGAGGAAAAGCUGGCGGUCACCAACCAGAAGUGGACGUGCAUGACGGUGGACCUGGAGGCUGACAAACAGGACUACCCGCAGCCCUCGGACCUGUCCACCUUUGUAAACGAGACCAAAUUCAGUUCACCCACUGAGGAGUUGGAUUACAGAAACUCCUAUGAAAUUGAAUAUAUGGAAAAAAUUGGCUCCUCCUUACCUCAGGACGAUGAUGCCCCGAAGAAGCAGGCCUUGUACCUUAUGUUUGACACUUCUCAGGAGAGCCCUGUCAAGUCAUCUCCCGUCCGCAUGUCAGAGUCCCCGACGCCGUGUUCAGGGUCAAGUUUUGAAGAGACUGAAGCCCUUGUGAACACUGCUGCAAAAACCCAGCAUCCUGUCCCACGAGGACUGGCCCCUAACCAAGAGUCACACUUGCAGGUGCCAGAGAAAUCCUCCCAGAAGGAGCUGGAGGCCAUGGGCUUGGGCACCCCUUCAGAGGCGAUUGAAAUUAGAGAGACUGCUCACCCAACAGACGUCUCCAUCUCCAAAACAGCCUUGUACUCCCGCGUCGGGACCGCCGAGGUGGAGAAGCCUUCAGGCCUUCUGUUCCAGCAGCCCGACCUGGACUCUGCCCUCCAGAUCGCCAGAGCAGAGAUCAUAACCAAGGAGAGAGAGGUCUCAGAAUGGAAAGAUAAAUAUGAAGAAAGCAGGCGGGAAGUGAUGGAAAUGAGGAAAAUAGUGGCCGAGUAUGAGAAGACCAUCGCUCAGAUGAUAGAGGAUGAACAGAGAGAGAAGUCGGUCUCCCACCAGACGGUGCAGCAGCUGGUUCUGGAGAAGGAGCAAGCCCUGGCCGACCUGAACUCCGUGGAGAAGUCUCUGGCCGACCUCUUCAGGAGAUAUGAGAAGAUGAAGGAGGUCCUAGAAGGCUUCCGAAAGAAUGAAGAGGUGCUGAAGAGAUGUGCACAGGAGUACCUGUCCCGGGUGAAGAAGGAGGAGCAGAGGUACCAGGCCCUGAAGGUGCACGCGGAGGAGAAACUGGACAGGGCCAACGCUGAGAUUGCUCAGGUUCGAGGCAAGGCCCAGCAGGAGCAAGCCGCCCACCAGGCCAGCCUGCGGAAGGAGCAGCUGCGAGUGGACGCCCUGGAAAGGACGCUGGAGCAGAAGAAUAAAGAAAUAGAAGAACUCACCAAGAUUUGUGACGAACUGAUUGCCAAAAUGGGGAAAAGCUAACUCUGAACCGAAUGUUUUGGACUUAACUGUUGCGUGCAAUAUGACCGUCGGCACACUGCUGUUCCUCCAGUUCCAUGGACAGGUUCUGUUUUCACUUUUUCGUAUGCACUACUGUAUUUCCUUUCUAAAUAAAAUUGAUUUGAUUGUAUGCAGUACUAAGGAGACUAUCAGAAUUUCUUGCUAUUGGUUUGCAUAUUCCUAGUAUAAUUCAUAGCAAGUUGACCUCAGAGUUCCUGUAUCAGGGAGAUUGUCUGAUUCUCUAAUAAAAGACACAUUGCUGA